rnacentral:rRNA from 1 species
GACGAACGCUUGCGGCGUGCUUAACACAUGCAAGUCGAACGGAAAGGCCCUGCUUUUGUGGGGUGCUCGAGUGGCGAACGGGUGAGUAACACGUGAGUAACCUGCCCUUGACUUUGGGAUAACUUCAGGAAACUGGGGCUAAUACCGGAUAGGAGCUCCUGCUGCAUGGUGGGGGUUGGAAAGUUUCGGCGGUUGGGGAUGGACUCGCGGCUUAUCAGCUUGUUGGUGGGGUAGUGGCUUACCAAGGCUUUGACGGGUAGCCGGCCUGAGAGGGUGACCGGCCACAUUGGGACUGAGAUACGGCCCAGACUCCUACGGGAGGCAGCAGUGGGGAAUAUUGCACAAUGGGCGGAAGCCUGAUGCAGCAACGCCGCGUGCGGGAUGACGGCCUUCGGGUUGUAAACCGCUUUCGCCUGUGACGAAGCGUGAGUGACGGUAAUGGGUAAAGAAGCACCGGCUAACUACGUGCCAGCAGCCGCGGUGAUACGUAGGGCGCGAGCGUUGUCCGGAUUUAUUGGGCGUAAAGGGCUCGUAGGUGGUUGAUCGCGUCGGAAGUGUAAUCUUGGGGCUUAACCCUGAGCGUGCUUUCGAUACGGGUUGACUUGAGGAAGGUAGGGGAGAAUGGAAUUCCUGGUGGAGCGGUGGAAUGCGCAGAUAUCAGGAGGAACACCAGUGGCGAAGGCGGUUCUCUGGGCCUUUCCUGACGCUGAGGAGCGAAAGCGUGGGGAGCGAACAGGCUUAGAUACCCUGGUAGUCCACGCUGUAAACGGUGGGUACUAGGUGUGGGGUCCAUUCCACGGGUUCCGUGCCGUAGCUAACGCUUUAAGUACCCCGCCUGGGGAGUACGGCCGCAAGGCUAAAACUCAAAGGAAUUGACGGGGCCCCGCACAAGCGGCGGAGCAUGCGGAUUAAUUCGAUGCAACGCGUAGAACCUUACCUGGGUUUGACAUGGAUCGGGAGUACUCAGAGAUGGGUGUGCCUCUUUUGGGGUCGGUUCACAGGUGGUGCAUGGCUGUCGUCAGCUCGUGUCGUGAGGUGUUGGGUUAAGUCCCGCAACGAGCGCAACCCUUGUUCACUGUUGCCAGCACGUUAUGGUGGGGACUCAGUGGAGACCGCCGGGGUCAACUCGGAGGAAGGUGGGGAUGACGUCAAGUCAUCAUGCCCCUUAUGUCCAGGGCUUCACGCAUGCUACAAUGGCUGGUACAGAGAGUGGCGAGCCUGUGAGGGUGAGCGAAUCUCGGAAAGCCGGUCUCAGUUCGGAUUGGGGUCUGCAACUCGACCUCAUGAAGUCGGAGUCGCUAGUAAUCGCAGAUCAGCAACGCUGCGGUGAAUACGUUCCCGGG